AUAAAUUAGAAAUAUUAUAAGGAUGGAAAAAAAAUGUCAAACAUUUUUUUUUAAGAUUUUCUAACAGUUUCUAGACUGCGAUUUCAAUUUCUGCAAGUGAGUAUGAGCCAGGCAGGUGAUGAAAUCUAAAAUAGCCGGUCAUUUCUUGGGAAAUAAAAGGCAUGUCAGUCAAUGCCGCAAAUAAUUCACAAAGCGUUUGGCACAAAUUAAUGGCUUUACUUUUGAAACCUUUUAUACACGCCAGCAAGCCAAAAAAAACAAAAGAAAAAAAAAUUAAAUAAAAAAAUGCCCAGCCAAAGCAAAGCUCGUAAAUUUGUUGGCCAUAAAAAUCAAUAUGUUAAUGGGCAAAAGUUUGCUACAGUUGCUUGUGUGUAUGUGCCUAUGUGUGCGUGCCUGUGUGUCUGCAUGUGGGUGUGUAUAGAUCUCUGUAUGUGUGUGAAGAGUGACACUGCUGAAACAUAAAUCCUACUGUCAACAAUGGCCAGCAGCAUUGACAUGCGACAAUGGCGGCCACAUAGUCGAAGGGCGAUCAGGAUGCAGAGGAAAGGGCAUUGCUAGCGGCUGGAUUGACCGAACCGCAGUGUUACAUAAAUACAAUAAAUACACACGGCGACAUGGCCUGACGCUGCUGAUGCUGAUGGACAGAUGACGAAAGGAUUUCGAACAACCAAUUGCAGAGAACCGGAGCGUCAGAGAGCCGUGGGGAGUGCGCAUUUAAAAUAUGCAAGCGAACAAAAAAUAUAUAAAAUUAAAAUUGCAAUUAAGCGUGGGAAAUAUGCGCAAAGUGUUGAAAUGCGAACUGACAGCUUCGAAUUGAAACUAUUGACCAAGCAAAUACUCAGCGGCCCCUUUCUCAUGCCACAAUCGCCACCGUGAGCAAAUAUGCCAAGGAUUUCUGUUAAAUUUAUGUAAAGAUAUGCGAAAACACGCCCCCUCAAAAGCCGCCCCUUCAACCUGACGCUCGUCGCUUUCAAUUUGUGGAAGACACUCGUUGCGCUCACAGCUCUCGACUCGACUCGACUCAACUCAACUCGAAUCAACUAAAAUUGAUUUAUGGAUAUUUUUAGAGAAGAAACGGGCCCUGACUGGGUAAAAGUUUAAAGCGUGUUGCGUGUCAAGAGCAAAUAUCAAAAAUCGACAUUCGACAUUCGGGGCGUGGUCGUAAAACCGCUCGAAAAUUAUAGCUUUCAGCUUUCGCGCGAAUUGUAAUAAAUUUAGAAAACUUAUAUACACAUCGCGAACCACUUGGCCAUUUUUAUAAAGUUUGCUCGCAAUUGCAGCUUAACGCCCCAUCCCACCAGUUGGUUGUCCCGCCCCCACAGUUGGGCAGCAAACGGGUUUCAACUAGCAAAGGUCGUUAACAGCUGGAAAGGCUUAGCCCGCCCGACGGAAAAAAGUUCGUAGGUGCCAACAAGCGUGGAAUAGAGCGGCUAGAAAAAUGGAAAACCGGCAAGGAUGUGGCAGAAAGUGCUUGACCUCGACCAUGGUACACACUGCAGCAUUACACAAAAAAAUGGAAUGUUUGUGUCUAUGGAAACUUUAUACUCUUUGCGCAUUUGGCUGCGCAAAAAGCAAAGCAAGUUUUUUAAUGACCGCGAUAAGCAAACAGAGGAUAAAACAAAUAUGCAGGUGUCAACAAGGCAUAACCGACUGCGGAAUACAGUUGAACACAGUGUAACCAAAUAAUAAUGAAAUUGACUAUAAAAUAAUAUAAGUCAAAGUGUAGAGUCUUGUUUAGCAGAGCUUUCUUUAAAGUGUCAAAUCUAACUGAAAUGAAAAUUGCUUAAUGAUAGGACUGU